AAUGGGGUGUUAAUAUUUCAGAGUAAAGUUAUUUUAACCCAGAUAGAGUAUUUUCAACAUUUUUGAGAGUAAAGUUGCUCUAUCAGUGGAGUUAAAAGUGAGUGUAAAAAUCUGCAGAUACGCAGUGACAAUUUCAACUCUACAGCAGUGAUGAAUACCCGCCACUCUGCUUUGCUGAAGUUUGGCACGUACGUUGGUGGAGGAAGAUUGCGAAGGAGUAGCUAGGCCACAGAUAUUGCUAGAGGCAAAAUGCUGUUGCGUGUUCAGCUCGGGGAAGAGCAGAAAUACGUCAAGCUGUCUGAGCUGACAUUCAAUGCUUUCUUGAAAGAAGUGUGUCUAAAAUUCAACAUACCAGAAAGCAGAAAGCCAGACAUUAAGGUGUAUGACCAGUCUGACACAGAAGUUGACUCAGAUGUUUUUGAAGAAUUAGUAAAGGAGUCACCUGGAACUUUCAGAAUCAUGCUGGGCAAUGGACUUGGUAUUCAUUCAUUCAAUUAGUUUUUUAGUUUAAAGGCCAGAAUGAGAACCUUUAUUGUCUUAAAAAUAACAGUUUAUUUUAAU